UUUUACGUCGCGAGACAACUGAGAUCAUGAGCGACGCCACAGCGGUCGGUCUGUGGAUUGCUUUUGCCUACCUGAGGGUUCUUUAACGUGCGAUGAAAGCUCACCACACGGCACCCCGUAUUUAACGUCCCUUGCGGAAGACGGCGUGUCUAAGCAACUUGUACCCUGCCACCAAGUUGCUGGCGUCCUUCAGAAUUACUUUUUUGAUGUUUUGCGAUGCAUUGGUUGGGCUCGUUCCCAAUCGAAAAAUGCAAAAUGUAAACGAGACCGUCUGAGAACGCAUCUUCCAACGUGGCGACCGACAGCGAUGCAGAGUUGUUAACUAUUAUAAACGUCCUGCUUCUCACGUCUCUGCUUUUGCAGAGCCGUUUAUAGGGAGAGUUUGGCCAUUAGGAGGAGCCUAACUUGAAGCGCGUCACGCGACGUCACGGCUAAGCCACCUCCCUCGCCGUGCUCUAUUGUUGUCCCGUUGUCAGCCGGUCACCGACGCCAUAUUGAUGCUGAUCGUUGUUUACGAUGCAAGGCGGGAAGACGUGUGUACAUUGUCCUUCGAAAGGCUUUUGUCCUUGAACUCUUUCAGUUUGGCAACAAAGCCCCCCUUAUCACAGGCGGCUAUGGGUCAUAAGCCUGCUAUUCCUGUAGAUUGCAUUCAUUGCGACAACAAAGCUGACGGACAGCAUCAAUAUGCGCACACCAGAUGGCUGAUGAGCAGAUUCUGCUUGGAUUCAGGCUCUUUUGGGCGGCGCAACGACGACUCUGACGUCAAAAUAGGCUCCACCCACGAGGCGGCAAAAGAUCACAGAAUGGCAAAACUCUCCCUAUAAAUGGCUCUGUGCUUUUGCGAAAGCGACAGCAGAGACGCGGGAGUCUCAGAUUUUGGAUCCACCCCCUAUGGCGCCAUCGCAAUGACGAAGGUCAAGCGAACUGUCUUGUUCCACGAUUGCGCAGCAGUGACGAAGCCUUCUACCGCAAGUAAGUCCGCUCCUGACAAAAAGUUUCAGUUGCUAGCGCUCGUGAUUAUAAACACGGCGUUCUCUUUUCACAUCAACUAGCUUCCUUCGAAUGACGCCUGCUGCAUUUGACACUUUGCUGCGCUAUGUUCGAGGCAGUAUCGAACGGAGGGACACACGGUGGAGGAGAGCGAUUCCUGCAAGUGAACGAUUGGCGCUGACUCUCAGGCAUGUUUGAGUUCUACAAAUCAGCAUAAAAUAUUUGGCAAUGAUCACAACCACGAUGUGUAGGACCAGUGUGAUAUUGUGGAGCGAGGCACCUAACGUGAAAAUUACUCUCGCUGACUUUGGGGAUUUCGUUGUUUGUGUGCCGUGAAAACUCCAGUCAUAUCAUCGGGAUAUUUGGGACGUUGUGUAAUUGGUUUUAGAAACGGAAAAGACAGAGAUGAUGACAAGACAAGCAUGCUGGUGUGAGGCACAAUGCAGAUACAUAACCCUGAGUUUGGGGACAACAAGAGACAACCAUGCACACGAAACUCAGAGCCAGUGCUGGUUCUAAGUUUCAUGUGCGUGGUUGUCUCUUUUGUCCCCGAACUCAAGGUUAUAUAUCUACAUAAAGACGGAGCAUGACACUUAUGUCCUGCCAGAGCACAUGAGAUAUGUCCUUUAUGGAGGUUCCUCGCCAACGGAGACACUUUCCGAAGCACCUCGUUCAACUUCCUUGUAGGACGAACCACAGUUGGCAGGAUUGUACAUGAUACGUGCGAAGCAAUAUGGAAUUACCUUCAAGGGGAGUACCUUGCUUUUCCCUCAACAACUGAAGAGUGGAGACAGAUUGCAUCGGAUAUGGAGAGAAGGUGGAAUUUUCCUAACUGCAUCGGCUGCAUAGAUGGCAAGCACGUGAUGAUUGAGAGCCCUGCCAACUCGGGCUCCAGAAAUUAUAACUACAAGGGGACAUUUAGUGUUGUGCUCCUUGCUCUCUGUGAUGCGCAGUACCGGUAAAAACGGACCCAAUUUUCUCUUCCCUGGGUUAAGUGUCCCUGCUCUGCUGUUCGUUGCAGCUUUACAUAUGUGGACAUGGGGCGCCUCGGAGGUGAAAGCGAUGCAGGCAUCUUUUCUCGGUCACGGCUGGUGCAAGUGCUCCAGAACAAUGAAUUUGGAAUCCCUGGACCAAGGAAUGUUGGUUCGGCUGGGCCAAUUCCUCACUGUAUAGUUGGGGACGAGGCCUUUCCCCUCUCAACGUUUUUAAUGAGGCCAUACUCAAGAAGAGGCAUGUAAAUCAACAAAGAAAGAUUUGUUUUGGUUACACAUUCUUAGACUGUGUCCCACAAUAUUUUGCAUAAAGAUUACGUGAUGUGAUGAAUGCAACAUCCCUUGACAUUUCAGCUGUGUGUGGUUAUCAACAAAAGGCAUUCAACUGUUGUCUGUCUCGAGCGAGACGGCUCGUAGAGAAUUCUCUCGGCGUCUUAGCCAAUCGUUGGAGAAUACUGAGACAACCAUUUAAGGCAAAGCUCGGAGGAGUAGGCUGUCACUCUAAAAGGACAGCUGCAGAAGUGCGUGACAAACUUGCACUGUACUUUUCAACAGAAGGGAAAGUGCCGUGGCGAGAUAACCACAUAUAAAUCCAGGUAAUUUUUAUUGACAAAGCCAGAUACCACUUUUAUCCAUUUUAGCCACUUGGAUAUUGUAACAGAUCUACUUUUUGCAGAACACUGAGACACAUAAAGAGGACAGAAAUACGUAAUAAGUAUGUCUCAAAAAUUGCCACUCCUGAGCUCCAAUUCAUACAUGGUUUUCUCUAUCUUGUGGAAUGCCUCUCUUCUUUGGGAUUUGUCUAGUUCGCGCAGGCGCAUAGCUAUAAACUGACAGAAGUAAUAGCUUUCAUCUUUGUCGGCUUCUAUGCUCUGCAGUUUAGAAGAACAGGCAUCUAAGGACCUCUGUAUAGAUUCGUCAAUUGGGUUGCUUGGUUUUGAUUUCUUGUUCCUGGAAGUAAGAACAAGCAAAACUUUGCUGAGAGCGCUGAAGCGUAGAUUGAUUUCUUGCAAUUUAAACGGAACUGUGUAGCACACUUUGUUGUACAUACCUGCCUGCUGCACUACAGCUUUCCUGUGGCCUUUUUCGUGCAGCCGAAGGCACCCUGCGUCAAGCAUCGUAUGGAUUCAAGCAUACUAAUUAUUCUGGCCACGCAGGUGAAUAACGAGCACACAAGAACACACUCACUCGGCGAUGCUUGCCUCCUGCGACGAUAGCAGAACGGCAUCAGGCUGCACGAACACCUCCUCAUACUGUUCAUCUUCAUACCUGGAUAAUCACAUAACGUUUUAGAAAUGUUCUUCCCCAGUGGUUGCCAUGUAAAUAGCUUGAUUAGUGCUACAGCUCUUUUGUUUUGUUGUGGAAUCUUGUCUCAACAUUUAAACAUAUUAUGUUCGAGGUGUGUCAAAAAAGUAGUAAGACUGAUUGUCAUUUCUGUGAAAGGUGAUGUGCAAUACAUUCAUAUAUGAAUCCUG